ACUUUCGUCCUCUCAUCUAAAUCCAUUUUCAUCUCAUUACAGUUUCACUUUCCAUUGCGAUGCAUAAUUUUUAAAAUCUAGCAAAACACUCCCCAAUCACCUUUCUUUGUCCUUAUUUUGGCAAGAGUGGCUACUUUAAGCAUAUACUAGGAUAUGGACUGGACGACCGGCUGCAGGGAGUAGUGUAUGAUGCGUAUGCUCCAACAGCCAUAUUCAUGCAUUGCUUCACCGAUCUUAUUUUUGCCAAAGAUUGUCUAUACUUUUUUUUGUGUGAUUCCUUGCUUCAGAAAUAUAAGAUUUAAUAUGCCAGAUAUUAAAUUUGUAAUCUAUAUAACCUUGUUUUCUCAGCAUGCCUUUCUCCUCAAAAUCCUACAUGUACUUGCUCCUUGUCCAGGCAUCCGAUGUUAGGAAAGAGAAGAGAUGGUCUUCGUCAGUUGCACUUAAGCAUGGGAAGGAUGCAGGUGAAGCGUGGACAAGGACACCGACGUUGCCGAGGUUGUUAUAGCAGCGACACUCGAGAACGCUCAAGGGAAGAGUAGACGCGCCUGGGUGGCUGGGUGACUCUGACCACUGGAAGCAGUUAAUCACAUGAUUGUAAAGGAAUAUGCGAAGCUGAUGAGACUAGAGCUAAAGUUCUUUCUCUUGGAUUCCUCAGUUAGGUGCUUGAUCAAGGCUGCGUAUGAGCUUAUUAACAUCGAUGGUGUGCUAAAUGUGAUCAUAAGGAACCUGGAAAGGGAGUAUGUCUCUUAAUGGACAUCUUUCAAUUUUGCGUUGAACUUUGAUUAAUUAUUUUACUGUACAUUUUCCAAAAUUCAAGGAUUGGCUUCUUACUCAUUACAAAUGGUUCCAGUCUUUAUUCUUAGUUUUUACAGUUACAUAAAGAACAAUGUUCAAAUUCACUGACAUGUGCUUUGUGACAGUACUUCACUGUAUGUUCAUUUUAUAUGCAUGUAGCAAUACUUCCUUUCAAUCUAUUCAUUAGUUCGUAAGCUAGAUCGUGUGCCAAAUUGUAUUUACUGGACACUUGCUACUCUUUUCCUUGUGCAAUUAUUCAGUCCUGGUUAUAUUUUGUGGUAUUUCUGAGUUGCAUAAAUGACUCGAAACAU